GACGAACGCUGGCGGCGUGCCUAAUACAUGCAAGUCGAACGCAGUGGGGACGGGUGAGUAACACGUGGGUAACCUCACAGCAGAGGGGAUAACACUUGGAAACAGGUGCUAAACCGAUACUGAUGGAUGGACACGCGGUGCAUUAGCUAGUUGGUGCGGUAACGGCUCACCAAGGCCACGAGGCAUAGCCGACCGGCGAGGUGGAUCGGCCACACUGGGACUGAGACACUGCCCAGACUCCUACGGGAGGCAUCAGUAGGGAAUCUUCGGCAAUGGACGAAAGUCUGACCGAGCAACGCCGCGUGUGUGAAGAAGGUUUGCGGAUCGUAAAACUCUGUUGUUAGAGAAGCGUUAUCUAACCAGAAAGCCACGGCUAACUACGUGCCAGCAGCCGCGGUAAUUC
rnacentral:rRNA from 1 species